rnacentral:lncRNA from 12 species
GGGGACAUUGGGGGGGCUGAGAGGAUUUGGGACAUUGGGACACAGGGACAGGGACAGGGGGUGGCACCUGGCACAGGUGAGGGGACGUGGGGAGGUGAGGGGACCCAGGGACAGGUGAAGGGCCAGGUGCCACAGGGGACGGGUGACAGGGACAGGUGAGGUGACACAGGUGACACAAAGGUGACAAUCACAAUAACACAGGUGACACAGGUGCCAAUCUCAGGUGACACAGCUGACACACAGGUGACACAGGUGGCACACAGGUGACACAAGUGACACACAGAUAACACAGGUGACACACAGGUGAUAAUGACAGGCAAGGUGACACAGGUGACACACAGAUGACACAGGUGACACAGGUGACACAGGUGACACAGGUGACACAGGUGACAGGUGACACAGGUGACACAGGUGACAGUGACAGGUGUCACACCUGGCAGGAGUCCUUGCCGCCCUCGGCCACGCCCGCGCACAGCAUGUCGGGCGUCACCUGCGCGCCGUGCGCCGCGCGACAGGCGCUGUCCUCCAGCACGGUGACAUUGAGGCACUGCGGCACGUCCGGGUACGACUCUGGGGACACGGACACACCUGGGACAGGUGUCACCGCCUGGGACACACCUGAGACACACCUGGGCACACCUGGGGACACCUGGGGACAGCUGAGAUACACCUGAGAUACACCUGGGACACACCUCAGAUACACCUGGGACAGGUGUCACCACCUGGGACACACCUGAGACACACCUGGGCACACCUGGGGACACCUGGGGACAGCUGAGAUACACCUGAGAUACACCUGGGACACACCUCAGAUACACCUGGGACAGGUGUCACCACCUGGGACACACCUGAGACACACCUGGGCACACCUGGGGACACCUGGGGACAGCUGAGAUACACCUGAGAUACACCUGGGACACCUGGGACACACCUGGGGACACCUGAGAUACACCUGGGACAGGUGUCACCACCUGGGACACACCUGAGAUACACCUGGGACACCUGGGUGCACCUGAGACACACCUGGGCACAUCUGGGGACACCUGGGGACAGCUGAGAUACAUCUGGGGAUACCUGGGAACGCCUGGGACACACCUGGGACACCUGAGAUACACCUGGGACACACCUGCGACACCUGGGGACACCUGGGGACAGCUGAGAUACACCUGAGAUACACCUGGGACACACCUCAGAUACACCUGGGACAGGUGUCACCACCUGGGACACACCUGAGACACACCUGGGCACACCUGGGGACACCUGGGGACAGCUGAGAUACACCUGAGAUACACCUGGGACACACCUCAGAUACACCUGGGACAGGUGUCACCACCUGGGACACACCUGAGACACACCUGGGCACACCUGGGGACACCUGGGGACAGCUGAGAUACACCUGAGAUACACCUGGGGACACCUCAGAUACACCUGGGGACACCAAGAUACACCUGAGGUACACCUGGGAUACACCUGGGGACAGCUGACAGCUGGGACACACCUGGGAACACCUGGGAAGGUGGCACUGGGACAGGGACACACCUGGGCUCUCGCAAUCCCCUCCCAGUUCAUCCCAGUCCCUCCCAAUAAAGCAGAUCGGAAGAGCGGUUCAGCAGGAAUGCCGAGACCGUCCCAGUCCCUCCCAAUAAAGCAAAACCAGUAUAAACCAGUAAACUCAAAUCCAUUCCUAGUCCCCUCCCAGUAAAAACCAGUCCCUCCCAGUAUAACCCAAUCCCUUCCCAGUCUACCCCAGUAUAACCCAGUCCCACCCACUCACAUCCCAGUCGCUCCCAGUCGCUU